rnacentral:rRNA from 1 species
AGUUUGAUCAUGGCUCAGAUUGAACGCUGGCGGCAGGCCUAACACAUGCAAGUCGAGCGGAUGAAGGGAGCUUGCUCCUGGAUUCAGCGGCGGACGGGUGAGUAAUGCCUAGGAAUCUGCCUGAUAGUGGGGGAUAACGUCCGGAAACGGGCGCUAAUACCGCAUACGUCCUGAGGGAGAAAGUGGGGGAUCUUCGGACCUCACGCUAUCAGAUGAGCCUAGGUCGGAUUAGCUAGUUGGUGGGGUAAAGGCCUACCAAGGCGACGAUCCGUAAC